UACAUGGGGUGCAAACGUUGCUCGGAAUUAUUGGGCGUAAAGCGCGCGUAGGCGGUUACUUAAGUCGGAUGUGAAAGCCCUCGGCUUAACUGAGGAAGUGCACCCGAAACUGAGUAGCUAGAGUACGAAAGAGGGUCGCGGAAUUCCCGGUGUAGAGGUGAAAUUCGUAGAUAUCGGGAGGAACACCAGAUGCGAAGGCGGUUCUCUGGAAAUUAUCUGACGCUGAGAAGCGAAAGCGUGGGGAGCAAACAGG
rnacentral:rRNA from 1 species